rnacentral:rRNA from 1 species
AACGAACGCUGGCGGCAUGCCUAACACAUGCGAGUCGAACGAGACCUUCGGGUCUAGUGGCGCACGGGUGCGUAACGCGUGGGAACCUGCCUUUAGGUUCGGAAUAACUCAGAGAAAUUUGAGCUAAUACCGGAUAAUGUCUUCGGACCAAAGAUUUAUCGCCUUUAGAUGGGCCCGCGUUGGAUUAGCUAGUUGGUGGGUAAAGGCCUACCAAGGCGACGAUCCAUAGCUGGUCUGAGAGGAUGAUCAGCCACACUGGGACUGAGACACGGCCCAGACUCCUACGGGAGGCAGCAGUGGGGAAUAUUGCGCAAUGGGCGAAAGCCUGACGCAGCGACGCCGCGUUGGGUGAUGAAGGCCUGUCGUAAGACC